UACGGAGGGUGCAAGCAUUAAUCGGAAUUAUUGGGCGUAAAGGGCGCGUAGGCGGAAAUCCAAGUCAGAUGUGAAAUACCGGGGCUCAACUUCGGUGCUGCAUUUGAGACUGUUUUUCUAGAGGGUAGGAGGAGAAAAUGGAAUUCCACAAGUAGCGGUGAAAUGCGUAGAUAUGUGGAAGAACACCGGUGGCGAAGGCGGUUUUCUAUCUUAUUCCUGACGCUGAGGCGCGAAAGCAAGGGGAUCAAACAGG
rnacentral:rRNA from 1 species